UCAUGAUCUUCUUCUCCAUUCUUGGUAAAUUUGGGGGCAUCUUUGCUUUAGUUCCAGCUCCUAUCAGCGCAGCUCUUUACUGUUUGUUCUUCUCAUAUGUUGGUGCUGGUGGUCUAAGUCUACUCCAGUUCUGCAAUCUCAACAGUUUCAGAACAAAGUUCAUUUUAGGAUUCUCCAUCUUCAUGGGCUUAUCAAUACCUCAAUACUUCUACCAGUACACAAUUGUCCAUGAUUAUGGACCCGUUCACACAUCCGCAA